AGAGUUUGAUCCUGGCUCAGGACGAACGCUGGCGGCGUGCCUAACACAUGCAAGUCGAGCGAGAAUCUUAAAUUUGAUUCCUUCGGGAUGAAGAUUUAAGAGGAAAGCGGCGGACGGGUGAGUAACGCGUGAGUAACCUGCCUUCAAGAGGGGGACAACAGCUGGAAACGGCUGCUAAUACCGCAUGAUAUUGUUUUAUCGCAUGGUAGAACAAUCAAAGAUUUAUCGCUUGAAGAUGGACUCGCGUCUGAUUAGAUAGUUGGUGAGGUAACGGCUCACCAAGUCGACGAUCAGUAGCCGAACUGAGAGGUUGAUCGGCCACAUUGGGACUGAGACACGGCCCAGACUCCUACGGGAGGCAGCAGUGGGGGAUAUUGCGCAAUGGGGGCAACCCUGACGCAGCAACGCCGCGUGAAGGAUGACGGCCUUCGGGUUGUAAACUUCUUUAAGUGUGGAAGAAAUUGACGGUACACACAGAAUAAGCCACGGCUAACUACGUGCCAGCAGCCGCGGUAAUACGUAGGUGGCGAGCGUUGUCCGGAUUUACUGGGUGUAAAGGGCGUGUAGGCGGGAUUACAAGUCAGAUGUGAAAUACCGGGGCUUAACUCCGGAGCUGCAUUUGAAACUGUAGUUCUUGAGUGUCGGAGAGGAAAGCGGAAUUCCUAGUGUAGCGGUGAAAUGCGUAGAUAUUAGGAGGAACACCAGUGGCGAAGGCGGCUUUCUGGACGAUAACUGACGCUGAGGCGCGAAAGUGUGGGGAGCAAACAGGAUUAGAUACCCUGGUAGUCCACACCGUAAACGAUGGAUACUAGGUGUAGGAGGUAUCGACCCCUUCUGUGCCGGAGUUAACACAAUAAGUAUCCCACCUGGGGAGUACGAUCGCAAGAUUGAAACUCAAAGGAAUUGACGGGGGCC
rnacentral:rRNA from 1 species